rnacentral:lncRNA from 1 species
CCGAUAGUAUCGAAUAGUGGGUAGAAACGUAUGGAGUAGUAUCGAUAAUGGAUAUUUUUGAUCACGGUGGUAUUCCUAGUCACCAUCCGCCUAGCCACUUAGGUGGAAGCUGCGCUAACCACCGUACCAGUAGCGUCGAUACUGACCUAUACCCACGGUGCUGGUACGGGUACGGUAUCAGGGCCGAAAGUAGGUGAUUGGGUGCCAGUUCCGCGGUAGGCCCGAUUGAGUACCGGCGGAGGAGCGCUGGAUGGAAAGGAAAGCGUCGAAAGGACCCAGCCGAGUCCGGAAGGCCGCCUUUAAACAUCGGAAUGGGGCGGCCGGAUGGUCGAAUGGUAACGCUGUCGGCGUGACAGGUAGGAAGACCCGGAUUCGCGUCCCGGGUCUGGUAACUCCCGACGGAUUUUUUCGGGGUGUUGGGCCCUGCCCGUCCAUUCCCGUCCUUCACCAUCCGGC